AUUGAACGCUGGCGGAAUGCUUUACACAUGCAAGUCGAACGGCAGCACGGGGGCAGCCCUGGUGGCGAGUGGCGAAAGGGUGAGUAAUACAUCGGAACGUGCUCGGUCGUGGGGGAUAACGUAGUGAAAGUUACGCUAAUACCGCAUACGAUCUGCGGAUGAAAGAGGGGGACCUUCGGGCCUCGCGCGCUCGGAGCGGCCGAUGCCAGAUUAGGUAGCUGGUGGGGUAAAGGCCUACCAAGCCGACUAUCUGUAGCUGGUCUGAGAGGACGACCAGCCACACGGGGACGGAGACACGGCCCAGACGCCUGCGGGAGGCAGCAGUGUGGAAUGUUGGACAGUGGGCGCAAGCCUGAUCCAGCCGUUCCGCGUGCAGUACGAAGGCCUUCGGGGUGGAAACUGCUUUUGUACGGAACGAAAAGGCUCUGGCUAAUACCUGGGGCUCAUGACGGUACCGUAAGAAUAAGCACCGGCUAACUACGUG
rnacentral:rRNA from 1 species